UUCCUCAUUAUUAUUUUUUGCCAGUACCAAUUUCUUCCUUCUAUGUCUUAAAGUAUAGCUCACCUUUCCCACUUGAUGCUCCUGGAGUAAUGAUGUGUAAAUAAAAGACAGAAAUGACACCAGUGUAAUUGUUUAAUAGUGCAAACAUAAAUAUGUACUACUAAACACUUCUCUAAGGGGUGUGUGUUUGUACACAGCAAACACUGCCUGGGUCACUGUAACAGCAGCCUGCCCCUGUCCCUGCAGAGGAAGGUGUUCCGUCAGUGUAACAGGAGAAAGCUGAAAAUCAACCGCACGUGCAAGACAUGCCAGGCUCUGAUGUCCAGUGUGGAGGAGAUCAGAAUUCCUAUCAUGAGGGAGACACACAACCGCACCACACCCUCACCGGACGCCAGCAAGCUAUUGCCAUCCUGUAGUCGCCACACCUCCAGCAGGGAGUUCUCCAGGCACACGCCAGCAUUGCCGCCAAGGACUUCACACUGCACUGCCCGAAACACCCGUCGAUGGUGAUGAGGAUGAGGAGACAGUCAAGAUUGUGCAGUGGGUGAAGAGCAAUGAGCCAAUGGUAGGAAUCUUGUCUCUCUGUCUGUAUCUUAAGUGUAUUUGCCCUUCACUUACCCUGUUUGAAAAGUCUCUUGUCAUAGAAGUUGCUGCUGGGACUUUGAUGGAGUGUUUCGUGAUCCUGGUGAUGGCUUUACAUGGCCUUUGCAUCUUGAGCGGGGAAAACACCAAUGAACACCCGGUUAGUCUUUUCUGUGGCCUUGGGAAACAGUCAUGGUGGGAGCCUGACACGUUAAGGAUGGCCUCACUUUGUUGUAGAGAGUCUCAUUAGUAAGGAAGCAUGUAUGAAUUUUAUGAGGCAAGA